rnacentral:lncRNA from 1 species
UACCAAAGGCACUCAGUGCUCUCCUCUGCGCGGCCGGGCCGCGGUCCGAGCCGUUUCGGUGACAACCGAACGCUCGGCGCUGCGCUCUGUGCCGCACUCAUAUCUGCACGUCCUCUGCGCUCCUCCCCCCGCCCCCGCGCACCCCGAAUCCCUGCACCCCGAGCUCUGCCCUCCCGGCCACAUUCACUGCAGUUUUCUCACAGGGAAGCAGAAGGCAGCCGCAGCGUUUUGCCACAGAGCCCCGCGCUUCAGCCCCCGGUAUCUGCCGGCCGUGCGUUUGUUUGCAGAGCUCCCCGCGUCCCGCGUACCCCUCUCUUCAUCCACAGGUUCUGGCUCACAGGAGCCCCUGCGACUUUGACAGCUGUCGCUUUGGCUGCACAGGAGACGAAUCGCCCUCCUUUUGGUGCCAGAAGAAGCAGGAAAUUAGCCAGGUUGCAAGUUGAAAAUCUGCCACGCCAGUGCUUUGAAUCCAAUAUGCCACACCUUCCAGCGGGGGAACUGGAAAUUGCCAUCCCGGAUCUGUGUUCUAGGCGGCUGCUUAUGCCGAACCUCCGCACACUUUGUUCACUAUUGCCUUACAAAGAGCAAAUGAAAUGGGGAUUGAAAGCCAGAGAGAUCCGAAGCAGGACAGAGCUCAGCAAAAGAAUGCGGCUCUAUUCUCGCAAGGGAAAUUAUAAAAAAGUUCAUGUUCACGGUUACCAUCCACAUGACCGACAACGACCAAUGGAAAAACCGAACAACUCAUAAAGUUGUAUUGCAAAGUUGUAAAUUUUCAUAAACAACAACGGAUUUAUGGCCUUUUCCUCAUCACUAAGAAGAGGCAGGUCUUAGAGAGGCGCCAUCUUACCACAGACGCAGCCCCGGAGUUUUUUUUUUUUUUUUUACCAGACCUGGAGUUCGCACUAAUUUUAUUAAAAUUGCAAUUAGUCCAUCGGCGGGGACCGAGCGCGGCGGUGAAGGGGAACUUCAGCUCAGACGAUGCUCCCAUUCCGCUCUGCGUUCGGCCGCCCGAAUAAAGGCGCUUUUCGGGUUUCUAAAAAUUAUUUU